rnacentral:rRNA from 1 species
AUGCAAGUCGAGCGAACAGAUAAGGAGCUUGCUCCUUUGACGUUAGCGGCGGACGGGUGAGUAACACGUGGAUAACAGACCUAUAAGACUGGGAUAACUUCGGGAAACCGGAGCUAAUACCGGAUAACAUAUUGAACCGCAUGGUUCAAUAGUGAAAGGCGGCUUUGCUGUCACUUAUAGAUGGAUCCGCGCCGUAUUAGCUAGUUGGUAAGGUAACGGCUUACCAAGGCAACGAUACGUAGCCGACCUGAGAGGGUGAUCGGCCACACUGGAACUGAGACACGGUCCAGACUCCUACGGGAGGCAGCAGUAGGGAAUCUUCCGCAAUGGGCGAAAGCCUGACGGAGCACGCCGCGUGAGUGAUGAAGGUCUUCGGAUCGUAAAACUCUGUUAUCAGGGAAGAACAAAUGUGUAAGUAACUGUGCACAUCUUGACGGUACCUGAUCAGAAAGCCACGGCUAACUACGUGCCAGCAGCCGCGGUAAUACGUAGGUGGCAAGCGUUAUCCGGAAUUAUUGGGCGUAAAGCGCGCGUAGGCGGUUUUUUAAGUCUGAUGUGAAAGCCCACGGCUCAACCGUGGAGGGUCAUUGGAAACUGGAAAACUUGAGUGCAGAAGAGGAAAGUGGAAUUCCAUGUGUAGCGGUGAAAUGCGCAGAGAUAUGGAGGAACACCAGUGGCGAAGGCGACUUUCUGGUCUGUAACUGACGCUGAUGUGCGAAAGCGUGGGGAUCAAACAGGAUUAGAUACCCUGGUAGUCCACGCCGUAAACGAUGAGUGCUAAGUGUUAGGGGGUUUCCGCCCCUUAGUGCUGCAGCUAACGCAUUAAGCACUCCGCCUGGGGAGUACGACCGCAAGGUUGAAACUCAGAGGAAUUGACGGGGACCCGCACAAGCGGUGGAGCAUGGGGGUUAAUUCGAAGCGACGCGAACAACCUUACCAAAUCUUGACAUCCUUUGACCGCUCUAGAGAUAGAGUCUUCCCCUUCGGGGGACAAAGUGACAGGUGGUGCAUGGUUGUCGUCAGCUCGUGUCGUGAGAUGUUGGGUUAAGUCCCGCAACGAGCGCAACCCUUAAGCUUAGUUGCCAUCAUUAAGUUGGGCACUCUAAGUUGACUGCCGGUGACAAACCGGAGGAAGGUGGGGAUGACGUCAAAUCAUCAUGCCCCUUAUGAUUUGGGCUACACACGUGCUACAAUGGACAAUACAAAGGGCAGCUAAACCGCGAGGUCAASCAAAUCCCAUAAACUUGUUCUCAGUUCGGAUUGUAGUCUGCAACUCGACUACAUGAAGCUGGAAUCGCUAGUAAUCGUAGAUCAGCAUGCUACGGUGAAUACGUUCCCGGGUCUUGUACACACCGCCCGUCACACCACGAGAGUUUGUAACACCCGAAGCCGGUGGAGUAACCAUUUAUGGAGCUAGCCGUCGAAGGUGGG